UACGUAGGGGGCGAGCGUUGUCCGGAUUUAUUGGGCGUAAAGAGCGUGUAGGCGGCCAGGUAGGUCUGCUGUGAAAACUCGAGGCUCAACCUCGAGACGUCGGCGGAAACCAUCUGGCUAGAGUCCGGAAGAGGAGAGUGGAAUUCCUGGUGUAGCGGUGAAAUGCGUAGAGAUCGGGAAGAACAUCGGUGGCGAAAGCGCUCUACUGGGCCAUAACUGACACUCAGGGACGAAAGCUAGGGGAGCGAAUGGG
rnacentral:rRNA from 1 species